GUGCCAGCAGCCGCGGUAAUACGUAGGUGGCAAGCGUUGUCCGGAAUUAUUGGGCGUAAAGGGCUCGCGGGCGGUUUCUUAAGUCUGAUGUGAAAGCCCCCGGCUCAACCGGGGAGGGUCAUUGGAAACUGGGAAACUUGAGUGCAGAAGAGGAGAGUGGAAUUCCACGUGUGGCGGUGACAUGCGUGGGGAUGUGGAGGAACACAGGUGGCGAAGGCGACUCUCUGUUCUGUAACUGACGCUGAGGAGCGAAAGCGUGGGGAGCGAACAGGAUUAGAUACCCUGGUAGUCCACGCCGUAAACGAUGAGUGCUAAGUGUUAGGGGGUAUCCGCCCCUUAGUGCUGCAGCUAACGCAUUAAG
rnacentral:rRNA from 1 species